rnacentral:lncRNA from 1 species
GGUGAUUGAAGCAGAUGGCUGAGGUGACGUGCGGCGCGGCAUCAGAACGGUGGCGGCGACAGAAUGGUGGCGGCGCCGGGCUAGAAGACCCUAGGUGCGGCGCACCUAGGGAAAUUUUUUUUGUUUUUUCUGUUAUGGGUUUUGGGCUAGGGUUUGUUUGUAGAUUUGGAUAUUGGGCCAUGGAUUAUUUUGGGUCUGCUUGGUGGGUUUGUAGGUUUGGGUCUGGUUUUAGGUUAGUGGGCCUGGCUUGAUUUGGUGAGGCCCGGGCUAAUUUGGGCUUCUACAGAAGGAUUAGCACUCUCGUAACGCACAAAAUUGGUACCUAGUUGGUUAAUAAAUGUCUAAAUGCCGAAAUUUGAAAAUUUGAAAAAGCAAAUCAAAACGCGAUCCAUUUUUA